GUGGGUAUAGCUCAGUUGGUUAGAGCGCCAGAUUGUGGCUCUGGAGGUCGUGGGUUCGACUCCCACUAUUCACCCCA
rnacentral:tRNA from 2 species